CAUUAAGACAGUAGGGAGUUCCUGGAGCAAUGUUCUACUCUAUAUUUGCCUCAAGUAUUUGCUGCAGGUUAUAAAGAAAUAUAAUUUUACCUGCCAUUUUCUUCUUGCCUUUGUUCCCCAAAUCACUAUGGAAAGGUGAUGUGGGGGCUCCUGGAAACUGAGUCUACAGGUUUCUGGAGAUUAGACUAUUGAUAAGAUUGCCUUUUUUCUUGUAAUUUACUAAGAUAUUUGUAAACUGAUGGAGACCCAUGUCCUGCCUGACUGUGAUCUUUAUCAGUUAACCAUUUGUUUUCUUUCCUUUCCUUUGUUCUUGGGCAGCCAGGACUGCCUGAGGAAUAUCACACAUAUGCCACCUGGGGGGAGGGAUGUGCUAACUUGCACUCUGCCUUCAGCCUGCAUUAUGCUUCUUUAUCAUUUGCAUGUUUUUGAAGAAAAAGUAGUAGGUGAAAGCAGGUGGGAAGUGUGUCUUCAUUAUGGCAGAAUGCAACCGAAAUGAAACGUAAUGCAGAAUAUUGUCCUACUUGUAACCUUCCCUCCAAAAGACACACAUACACAUGCUAAUGGAACAUCAGUGAAAACAAUUACUGUACUGUUUCAUUUAACAGUGCCUUGGACAUCUUUACAUCUUAUGACAAACUCAGUGAACCCAGUAGUUGAUGAACUUGGUAUCCAAGAGGUUCCUUUGGUUAAGACAAUUAAUUUAAAUUCCAUCUGGAUACAAAAAUGAAUUUUGGGGAUUUUUCCUCUCUUAAAAAUAUCCAAGACUAUAUAGCCGUGUUUAAAUUAGAUGAUGGAAAAACAACAAAAGCAAAGACAAAACAAAAAAAUACCUCAUGAAUGCAUUUACUUUUUUAGAAGUUCUUUAUUCAACUGUUUCUUUUCAAUUUGCAGAGAAUUCCAUGCACAGAGGAAGUAGAUUCAACACGAUUACAUGUAAACAUUAAGGCAUUUGUCUAUUCAUUUUGGUUAUUUGCUGUGUACCAGAUUUGUAAUUAAAGUAAUUGUAGAGCCACUUUUAUCUAGACCUGUACACACAUGGAUAGCCUUCUUGCGAAUGGGGGCAUUCACUUCCCUGAUCCCAUUGAAAUCCAAGGUUGGCUCAAACUUUCUUAGGUGAAAAUGUUCCCUUCCACAAUGAAACCAAGUGGUUUUGCUUCCAGUUAUCAGCUGGCAGAUCUUUGCUUUUGAAUAGGUAGCUUCUUGGCCUAAGUCAUGGUUGUUGUGGAUGAUUCAGGGUCCUUCCAGCAAUAGCUGUUUGUUGUUGACUUUCCAGGCAAAGAUGAUUCUGAUGCUCAGAAGCCCAUACAAGUAGUUCACCUCUUGGGCAUUAUGAAUCCAGCUGAAAAAGUAAUAAAGGUAGUUUUAUUUUAAUUCUAGGGGCACAUAUUGCUGGUUAUCACCAACUGAGAAGGAAUGAAGAAUCGGUCCUCUGUUGUUUACUGUCUUCUAAAAAAAUUGCAUAAUUAUCCUGGUGGGUCUUGUUUACUUUGUGGUCUUAGGGCACAUUUCAGUGAACAGUACUCAUGCUCUCCUUCAACAACAGCCUGGUCAAUGAGAGCACCCCCAAGGAAACUGUUCAUUUGUGUUGGGCAGGGUCCAUUUAGAACUACCCUCAGCCUUGCUGGAUGGCGAGUCAGGGUUGUGGUCUCCCUCCUGAAACCUUCUUAAGGGCAUCCUAACUUCUUUUGUGAGGAUAUCUCUAGAGAGAGAGAGCAGACUAUUUCUCCCUGUUUCUCCACCAGUUCUUUCUUUCUCUAGAGCAGGGCUUCUCAACAGCGAUACCAUUUACAUUGGGACCCCGGAUCAUUCCUUGUUGCAGUGGGCUGUCUUCUGUAUUUCAGGAGGUUUAGCAACCUUCUGGGCUCUACCCACAAGCAUCCCCCUGUCAUGACAGUCAAAGAAGUCUCCAGACCCCAGGGGAUAGCGAGUCAGUCAAAUUGCCCCUGAUUCAAAACCACUCCUUCAGAGAAAGCAGUGUUUUUCAAUCUAGCCGCAGAUUACAAUCACUGUGGUAGCUUUGCAAAAUUACCAGUGCAUGGGCCCCACUUCCACAUGCAUAUUGAAUUGGUCUGCCCUGUGUCUGGGUACAUUGCAAGAAGAGCUUCUCAGGUGAUUCUAAUGAGUAGACCAGGUGAAAACCAUUGCUCUGGGCGAGUGUGUGUUGUAUAAGAGGGGUGUGUGAGUGUGAGUGUGGGAGUCAAAGUGAGAAUGAGAGAGAGCGAGAGAAGUGAUGAAGAGCUCAAGCUUUUUGGGAAUAAGAAAGUUAACAUCUUUACUUCCUUUGUUGAAUUCGGGGAUUGAGAAGGACUGACCCCAGCCGGUUCUGUAAAACUUCAUCCCCCCCACUCUCAAGGUUCUCAGUGGAUCCAAAAGAUUGGCUUUGCUUGUGUAUUUGAAGGUCAAGGGAUUUAGAGGCAUCCAGAAAUCAGCACUAAAGAUAAAGAAAGAGAGCACGCAAGCAAGGGACGGGAAGAGAGAGGAAGAGAGAG